AGGACGAACGCUGGCGGUGUGCUUCACACAUGCAAGUCGAACGGAGUAGCAAUACUCAGUGGCGGACGGGUGAGUAACACGUGGGAAUCUGCCUUUAGAUGGGGGAUAGCAGACCGAAAGGUCUAUUAAUACCGCAUAUGCCGAGAGGUGAAAGUAGCAAUACGUCUGAAGAUGAGCCCGCGCCCGAUUAGCUAGUUGGUAAGGUAAAAGCUUACCAAGGCUACGAUCGGUAGCUGGUCUGAGAGGAUGAUCAGCCACAAUGGAACUGAGACACGGUCCAUACUCCUACGGGAGGCAGCAGUGGGGAAUUUUACACAAUGGGCGAAAGCCUGAUGUAGCGACACCGCGUGAGCGAAGAAGCCUUUUGGGUGUAAAGCUCUGUCAGCAGGGACGAAAAAAAUGACGGUACCUGCAGAGGAAGCAUCGGCUAACUACGUGCCAGCAGCCGC
rnacentral:rRNA from 1 species